CGCGGCGCCGCUCUGUGGAGACUCUCAGCCUUCAUGUGUGAUGUGAAGGAAGUGAGAUGAGAGUCGGUGGCGCCGGCACUGGAAGCUGAAGCCCAGAUGAGGACGGACUGUGAGCGACUGAGCGGUUCCCCUUCGGUCGCUCGAGUCCAUUCGAUGCUCUAAGGAGAGCCCCUCCGAUGACCGAUCGUCACCGCGGACGCUGAAGAGUCCAGCCACAACGUCUCCGCUGCUCCGUCCACAGGUGUCCUCAGGCC
rnacentral:lncRNA from 1 species